AUGUAAAUAAGGUCUGCAUUAGCCCUUAAUUCAAGCUAGGCUGGAAAGGACUGUUACCCAUUAGACCUUUUUCAUGCUUCCGAUCCACCACCAGAACAGAACAGCAACAGGAGAGAGAAAAAGACAGAGAGAGGGAGAGAGAAAGAAAGAGAGAAAGAAAGAGAGAGCAAUGCUGAGAAGGAAAAGAGCAGAGAAGUCCAGUGCUGCAAUGCAAAAAGAGGACCUGCAAGUACACUGCUGAAUGAAAAAGAUCAUUGAUGGUGGUAGAUGAAGAGGCUUAUGGUUCCAAGAGGAGUUUGUAGCCUCUAGUUCUAGGGAGAUGUGUUGGAGAUGUUUGCGUGUUAUAGGAUGGAUGCGACAGUGACAGCUGAUGCAGACUUCAGCUUAUGGAUUGCGGAGGUGCGGCAAAGGCGCUGAUGAGGAUAACUAGGAGAUCGAAGUCGGAACUGAGGAAGACACCAGAGAAAGGUCCAGGUCUCUCACAAUCCCACUUCAACUGAACUGGACUGAAGAAGAUUUGGAAGAUUCACCAAAUGCACCGCCUAGGAGAUGGGUGCAGGACCAGCUUGAGGGCAGAGAUGACACCAACAGGGUGGCAGUGCUACCAACACCAAGCAUCAAUAUGAUGAGUAGGGAGUCAGAAUGUGUUGCAUGCAGCUUUAAUUUAAAUUGUUUUAUUAAAAC